UUUUUUUUUUUAUUUUUACCCGCAGACGAACGCUGGCGGCGUGCCUAAUACAUGCAAGUCGUACGCUUCUUUUUCCACCGGAGCUUGCUCCACCGGAAAAAGAGGAGUGGCGAACGGGUGAGUAACACGUGGGUAACCUGCCCAUCAGAAGGGGAUAACACUUGGAAACAGGUGCUAAUACCGUAUAACAAUCGAAACCGCAUGGUUUUGAUUUGAAAGGCGCUUUCGGGUGUCGCUGAUGGAUGGACCCGCGGUGCAUUAGCUAGUUGGUGAGGUAACGGCUCACCAAGGCCACGAUGCAUAGCCGACCUGAGAGGGUGAUCGGCCACAUUGGGACUGAGACACGGCCCAAACUCCUACGGGAGGCAGCAGUAGGGAAUCUUCGGCAAUGGACGAAAGUCUGACCGAGCAACGCCGCGUGAGUGAAGAAGGUUUUCGGAUCGUAAAACUCUGUUGUUAGAGAAGAAUAAGGAUGAGAGUAACUGUUCAUCCCUUGACGGUAUCUAACCAGAAAGCCACGGCUAACUACGUGCCAGCAGCCGCGGUAAUACGUAGGUGGCAAGCGUUGUCCGGAUUUAUUGGGCGUAAAGCGAGCGCAGGCGGUUUCUUAAGUCUGAUGUGAAAGCCCCCGGCUCAACCGGGGAGGGUCAUUGGAAACUGGGAGACUUGAGUGCAGAAGAGGAGAGUGGAAUUCCAUGUGUAGCGGUGAAAUGCGUAGAUAUAUGGAGGAACACCAGUGGCGAAGGCGGCUCUCUGGUCUGUAACUGACGCUGAGGCUCGAAAGCGUGGGGAGCAAACAGGAUUAGAUACCCUGGUAGUCCACGCCGUAAACGAUGAGUGCUAAGUGUUGGAGGGUUUCCGCCCUUCAGUGCGCAGCUAACGCAUUAAGC
rnacentral:rRNA from 1 species